rnacentral:tRNA from 1 species
AGGUGUGACAAGAAUAAUUUCCAAUUAAUCAUUGAUUCACCCAUCCGCACUUA